rnacentral:misc_RNA from 1 species
GGAGCAAGUGAACGCCAUCAAGGAGAUAUCGGACCACAUCACUCAGUUGAAGAGAGUGGGCAGUGGGCUGGGAGAGUAUGAAUACGAUCGCCGCCUCGACUCCUAAAGCUCACACAGAGACUGUUACACCCAUGCAACAAGUGUUUAGUGUCAAAAUUUACUUUUUCUGUUAAUUCAAUUAUGGUGGACAUUUAUAGUUAAAUUUUGUUUUGAGUCGAUAACGGAGUUUUAAAAAAAAUGGGUGUAUAUAAUUAUGAAAAAAAAAAUAAAAAUAGCAAAAUGAAACUU